UCUCGAGUGUGUGAAAGUUAGCUCAAAUUUGUAUGAAGUUGGAACGUUUGCCCACAUUUGCCGCUAGGGGCGCUGUUCCAACUCCAUACAAAUUUGAGUUGACAUUUACGCUGUCGA
rnacentral:pre_miRNA from 9 species